GGCCUCAUACUUAUGUAGUCAGUAUUGCUUACCUGGUUCUUUUAACUCCCAAGUGCAGAAGCUUUGCUUCGCUCAAACCACAAAAAACCCAAAAAACUUAGAAAUCAGUAGCAAGUGAACCUGAUUCUAAUGUGGGUUACUGUGAGUUGUAACAUCAAUUUAAUCCCACUGAGAUUAAUGAAACACAACAGAAGAAGUGAAAAGCAUCAGAAACUUCUCUGUAUAUCCUUACAUGGAGCUCCAUGCAAAAGGGAAGUUUCUUGUAGGGACCAUCCAGCAGUCGGUAGAAAUCUCGUGAUUCUGACCACUAUAUGGAAGCAAUUCUCAUACAUGCAAUCAUCUGGAGUACAGAGAUUUACAAAUGCGUAACUAUGCAUCAGAAUAUGUUCAUCUUAACAGAAGAAGCUGGGACAAAUCAAUGCCUGCAUCAUUAUGAAGCUAAGUAUCCUUAUUAUACGCAGAGAUUUGCUGGUAGUUAAGUCUGAGCUUCUGCAAAUCUGCCUAAUCAUAUUUAGCCCAUACCUUGCUAGAUAGAAAUCUAGAGCACUUUCUCUUUGCAGCAUAGUUUUAUUCACAAAUGCAUGCUCAUUCAGAUUAGAAAUGCUACAGGCUUCUAUAUAGAUUUACCUAAAAACAAUGUACUGUAUUGUUGAAGUCAAAUAUAUGGAGGGAAGGAGGCUGGGGAAUAUGUAGAGUUCCAUCUCAUUUUUCAUUUCAAGUUUUCCUUCCCACUUUGUUUACAGUAACAGUAAUAAUUAAUUACAUGAACAACAGUUCUGAACUGUCUGGUUUAUUCAGUGAAAUUAUGUUAUCGGUUUUCAUACUGCCAGAACUCAUUUUCUAUCUUUGUACAGGAUUCAGGUCUCAGAAUAUAUUGUAGGAGAAAAAAAGGAAGGGUGAGCAGCCCACCAUGGAUGAUGGAUUAUUAGAGAUGGCCUUAGAGAACCCAAUAAUCCAGGUGUUUGUACUACCAUGUAGAUAAAGGAGAUUCUGUUCAAAGUACAAAGUAAGAGUGUUCAUAAAUUAACAAAGUAUGAUUUUUAGUUGAGUGAAAAAACUUGACUGACAGUUAACAGUUACUUUAAGUAUAUGAUAACGUGGCUGACAUUUGUAAUCUUCCAUCUGAAGAUCAAAACUGCCAAGUUUAAAAUGCAUAAGUAUCUGACAAAUAUGUAUAUACUAAUGCCAAGACAGGGCUGCUGUGUAGACCUGAUCAGGCAACCUUACAAUCAAGCAUACAAAACUAACAGCUAUGUUACUUUCCUCUGUUCAUAGUCUUUGAACAAGACCAUGAUUAGAAAUAGGGAUUAACUUCAGUAACUUUUAAAAAUGUUAAAAAUAACAUGCACUGAAAUAGAGACUUAGUGCUGUCUAGCAGAUUGCAAAGUGUGUGAAUUCCUAUUUAAGAAUCCCUUCAGAAUUAUUCAGACAAAACAUUACAGAACAAUUUCUACUACAUAGCAUGUAUUUACUUUUUAACACAAUAGAAAGCAGUAAGCUCUUAGUACUAUUUGCAGGUUACGUUUCUUACACAUUGCACUUUACUGGUAUGUCUGGUAUAAGACAUCUGGAAAAUGCAUGGAGACCAAAAAUUACUUAAGAGUAGCACUGUGUUUGUCAUUAAAACCCUUUAACUCCUCUUUGAAAGAUCACGAGCAAUUCUGUACAUGUUAAUGAGGUUCUCUUUCACAGCAGUUUCAGUAAAACACUCCAUACACUUUUGAAUGCUGUUACAAAACUGAAGUUCAAGCAGAAAAUUAAAAACUCUCCAAAACUGACAGUAGAUUAGAUACUUCCCAGCAUUGAAAUUAUCUCAAGUAGUUCUUAUAAUGAAAUUCUAAGUGAUAUCCAUUCUUAUGCUAAUACUUUUGCACUUAACGGGUUCAUUGAUAAUACUCAUUAGAUUCAUUUACUCAGCCAGCACCUACACAACAGCAGUUUAUUUUCAAUAUGCUUAAAGGCAGCAAUAUGUCCUCUAAUAACUAUAUAACAUACACUGAAAGGAAAUAGGAAGUAAUAAAUAAAAAUUGAGAGAAAGAAUACCAUCUACUUGGAAUCAUAUACUCUUUAGAAACAACUGAAAACCAGCUAUAUAUAUAUAUAUAUAUUAUAUACGUAUAGUACUGCUGCAUGCAACAUUUCCAAGUAAUUACCAUAAAUCACAAAUAUGCCUAUGUAAAAGAAACUACAAAGCAGAACCAUUAUGUUAGUGGAAUUCUCCAGGGUGGUUCACGAUAUGCAACUUUGAUAUAUCCUUGCCAGGUAAUUGGUAAGCAUUUCUAACAUUUCAUCCUUUCUAAGCACUGAAAAGGUAAUAUUAUUUAACUGGUACACAGGUGUUAACACGAGGUCAUAAAAUCCAGGGAGCUUACCCUCGGUCACCAGAAAGAAGCCCAGAUCCAAAAGUUAUUUCCAACGUCCAGACAAGAAAUCUGAAAAAGAGAAUAACAAAGGGUUUGUGACAAACCUGACACACAGUACUCCCAAAGAAGUAAAAUCAAUUGUGACAUUUUUCAUUUAUUUGUAAAUGCCUCUUCAGCAGCAUGCUCACUCAGAACGACAACUGACUCUUAUAGAAUAGGGGAGGUGAUGGUAAAAUAGAGAAAUCCUGACAGUUACUUUAAUGAGAUUCUGCAUUAGGACCACUCUAACACUUUCCUUCAACAAGGAGUAUGCCCUUCGCUUUCAAUCUGCUACUCCCCAAUUUGGAAAGCAUUAGCACUAUGAAAAACUCCACU